CCAAUAGCGUAUAUUAAAGUUGUUGCAGUUAAAAAGCUCGUAGUUGAAUUUCGGGGUUAGUAGGUUGGUCAUGCCUCUGGUAUGUACUGGUCUCACUGAUUCCUCCUUCCUGAUGAACCUUAAUGCCAUUUAUUUGGUGUUUUGGGGAAUUUGGACUGUUACUUUGAAAAAAUUAGAGGGUUUAAAGCAAGCUAACGCUUGAAUACAUUAGCAUGGAAUAAUGAAAUAGGACGUUCGAUCCUAUUUUGUUGGUUUCUAGGAUUGACGUAAUGAUUAAUAGGGAUAGUUGGGGGCAUUAGUAUUCAAUUGUCAGAGGUGAAAUUCUUGGAUUUAUUGAAGACUAACUACUGCGAAAGCAUUUGCCAAGGAUGUUUUCAUUAAUCAAGAACGAAAGUUAGGGGAUCGAAGACGAUCAGAUACCGUCGUAGUCUUAACCAUAAACUAUGCCGACUAGGGAUCGGAUGAUGUUAAUUUUUUAAUGACUCAUUCGGCGCCUUACG
rnacentral:rRNA from 1 species